rnacentral:rRNA from 1 species
GUGGGGAAUUUUGGACAAUGGGCGCAAGCCUGAUCCAGCAAUGCCGCGUGCAGGAAGAAGGCCUUCGGGUUGUAAACUGCUUUUGUACGGAACGAAACGGUCCGGGUUAAUACCCUGGGCUAAUGACGGUACCGUAAGAAUAAGCACCGGCUAACUACGUGCCAGCAGCCGCGGUAAUACGUAGGGUGCAAGCGUUAAUCGGAAUUACUGGGCGUAAAGCGUGCGCAGGCGGUUUUGUAAGACAGGCGUGAAAUCCCCGGGCUUAACCUGGGAACUGCGCUUGUGACUGCACGGCUAGAGUAUGGCAGAGGGGGGUGGAAUUCCACGUGUAGCAGUGAAAUGCGUAGAGAUGUGGAGGAACACCGAUGGCGAAGGCAGCCCCCUGGGCCAAUACUGACGCUCAUGCACGAAAGCGUGGGGAGCAAACAGGAUUAGAUACCCGUGUAGUCC